AAACGUUACAAUAUAAAGGAAUGUGUCUACUAUUGUAAGUUAGUAUCAAUGUGUCUACAAAGAACAUGACCAUAGCAUGUUUGAUGUUGAUCGUGGGGUCUGUGUGCAUUAACGCUUCACACGACAAGAAAACGGCGGAUGCCAUGGACGAGCUCCAGGCACGAGUUGGGGCUCGUCCGUUUUUCAACAGGGCAGAGCGCUACAGUCAAUUUCAACUGGCUAGGUUUGUAGAGCAGUCAUAUAUGAGUGUGCUGACGAGGUGAUGCCGUUGCCAACAACAACUGCCGAUUGGACGCGAAUAGCUUACUGCUUCAUGGGCAGCCGGUAUUUUUCCCAUACGCUUGGUGUUAUUGAUGGCAAACAUAUUGCCUGCAAAUAUCCACCAAGAUCCGGGUCUACGUAUUUACUACAAGUAGUACUUCUCCGUUGUCCUGCUAGCUCUGGUGGAUUCUGACUACAAGUUCGCCUGGGCUGACAUUGGAGGCCGUGGUGCUGCAUCCGAUGCACAGUUGUGGAACGAGUCAGACCUGAAGGCAGCAGCUGAUAACGGAUACAUUGACCUGCCAGAACCUGAAGCUUUGCCACAUGAUACUGAGGAUGUACCCUACUUUUUCAUCGGAAAGAAAACAUUAAAGUGUCCGACUGGCCAAGAUUUAUUUAUCUAUUUAUUUUAUUUUUGGCGAAAGGGUAUAUAAACAUUUAUGAUCAAGAAACAAACAAGCAUAUG